GAUGAACGCUGGCGGCGUGCCUAAUACAUGCAAGUCGAGCGAACAGAUAAGGAGCUUGCUCCUUUGACGUUAGCGGCGGACGGGUGAGUAACACGUGGAUAACCUACCUAUAAGACUGGGAUAACUUCGGGAAACCGGAGCUAAUACCGGAUAACAUAUUGAACCGCAUGGUUCAAUAGUGAAAGGCGGCUUUGCUGUCACUUAUAGAUGGAUCCGCGCCGUAUUAGCUAGUUGGUAAGGUAACGGCUUACCAAGGCAACGAUACGUAGCCGACCUGAGAGGGUGAUCGGCCACACUGGAACUGAGACACGGUCCAGACUCCUACGGGAGGCAGCAGUAGGGAAUCUUCCGCAAUGGGCGAAAGCCCGACGGAGCAACGCCGCGUGAGUGAUGAAGGUCUUCGGAUCGUAAAACUCUGUUAUCAGGGAAGAACAAAUGUGUAAGUAACUGUGCACAUCUUGACGGUACCUGAUCAGAAAGCCACGGCUAACUACGUG
rnacentral:rRNA from 1 species